ACCAGGUACUCAGUAGAUAUGACAAACGUUGAGUUAUUCGCGUUAAUAAAAUUAUACCUAAUCGUGUGCUCUAGACUUGUAAGAAUAAUUUUUGGAAACAUUUAUAGUGAUUUUUUUUCUUUUCUAAAUCAACUUGUGUAAAAGUGCAGUGUAAAAUUGAUCUUUUACUCGUACAAAAAUAGAAUUCAAUUCGUGCACAUGGGUUUUUUCUUAUAUCAAGUGUUUUUAAAAAUUAAAUAAUUAAUAUUUAGCCUUGACCCCCCCCCCCUCGGGCCAGCAGCUUCAUCACACUUCAUGCCGUUAGGUUUUCACCUCUUUUGCAGUGUUGAGGGUUGGGAUUUUGGAAAUAUGUGGGUUUAGUGUGAGAAGUAUGCAUGAGGUGGGCUGAGGGAUCGAGUGAGGUUAGUGUGGAUAGUGUGUAUAAGAGAGGGUGACUGGGUGUUGAGAUAUUGUAGUGGUGGCUGCUUUCAAUUUUCAAUUAAAUACGCCUAUUAAAUAUCUUCUAUAUGGUGCAGCGAACGAAAUGGUUCAGACAUAAGUGAUAGCAAAAUGAAAUAAAAAGCAAAAAACUGUAAAUUUGUUAACUAAUUUGAUUUCGAAAAGUCCUAUAAUGCAAUCGUCGUGCUAAUGCCGGUUCGGUUCAUAACCGCGGUCAUCUGCAUAAAGAUAAAUAAAAAUCCAUCAUCAUUCCACAACUGGAAUACAUCAACGUGAAAAAUUAGCCAAUCGUUAUUUCACGUUCAAAUCCAUACAGGGUGUAUUCACAGAAAGGGAAACGGAAAGAACGAAACUGAUAAAAAAAAAAGGGAAAACAUUAAAUAUUCGAUGAGUAUCAUUCUCGAUCAGAGAUCAUCAUACUAGUUCGUAGCCACUGUACAACAUGUAGGAGAAAGUUAUCGAAUUGACGUUUCGUACUUACACCUAAUGUGAAAAAAGCUAAUUUUUUUCAGUAAAAGUGAUUUUAUAAAUUAAAAUUUCCAACAUUCGUGUAAAUACCAAUCAACAUCAUGGGCAUUGGCAUUGUAUUUCUUGUACUAACUUACCUGUUGCUGCUCAUAUCCGUUAUCGUAUGCAUACCCUCAACCAUCUGUGUAAUUAUUCAUUUGUACAAAUUUUUCAAGACCACGUCAUCGCAAAGUCUCACAACAAAGAAUAUAACCGUUUACUGUUUUUUCUUACUACUGAUCUACACUUUUACUUUAAUCACAAUUGUUGCAUUAAGAAAUGAUCUAGAACCAUACGUGAACAUUUUUGCUGAAGUUAUUGUAUAUUUGUUAAUGACAACAACCUUACUCAAAUUCUUUAUCGCUGUGGAUCUAUUUUGGUGUUUUCGCAAAGUUGCUAUAUAUCUACAAAAACCUUCUUCCUUGGCUACCCAGAAUAAAAAAUUCAUCUUUCAUAUUCUUCUCAGUACAACCGUACCUUUACUCUAUUAUCCAAUAUUCGGCUCAUUUAAAGACGGAGGCAUAUCCUCGUAUUUUGGAGCAGCUGCGUUAAUGAGGAUUAUUCGCAUCGCGCGUUUAUUUUUCAUUUUUGGCGCAUUCUGGUAUAUCAGGUCAGCCAGUAUCAAUAAAAAGGAAUUAUGGUCAAAUUAUGGUCUGCAUAUGCGAAUUCUGAUAAUGCUUGGAGGGUUCUCUGCUGUAAUAACUAUUUGGGAAGUUUUCUCACUGUAUGUGACUCCCAACCAAGGCAAAGCAAUACAGGAUUCAUCUUUUAGAGAAAGGGAUGUUUGGUACAACCAAGACAAAGUAAUGGAGAAUUCAUCUUUCAGAGAAAUAGAUGUUUGGUAUUUUUACUUACAAUAUUAUGGAUGUAUUAUAGAAGGAGUUGUUAUAGGGAAAUUCAUCACUUUUAGAAAAGAAACAUUUCAGUCUGAUGGUACCACUGGUGCACCUGGCCAACGCACAGUAUAGUUGUUUAAAUUUCAACAAUACUAAAUUAGGCAACUAAGUAUGUUCAUUACCUAAUUACUUGUAAAAUAAAAUUAUUUCAUGCCAUUUAAAAGGUUUACACGAUGAGUUGGACCGUUGAUUAUCUCGAGAAAUUACUGGCUAAUUGGUACUAUCGAUAGAAUACGUAUGUUUAUAUGCAAGCUUACCCAACAUGAAUUUAUUAUAUGUAUGUACCUACUUAUGUACCUACCUAACUGUUAAAUUACUCAUCAAAUACAGAUUCUUUUCAUUAUAACUUUUUUUAUUUUGAUUGCACGUUAACGCGCGCAAUUUUUAAGAUUUUUUUUUCAACUUAUUCAAGGUCAUCCUAAAAAGCUUUAUAAAAAAGUAGGUACUCGUAUUUCGGUACUUUAAACCAGGGAUGAACAUUCAACUAAAGCCUAAAACUAAACCGAACUUCUGCGAAAAAUGUUUAUUGAAUUUUUAUCGAAAAAUUUAAAAAAUCCUCUAAGCAACUGGUGAGAAAUCGUGUGUUUUAGGGGCUAAAAGUGUAGGUAUCGAAUUUCAAAAUAAUUGGGUCAGGAAGGUUUAUAAACUUUAAUUGUGCUGCCUUGGGGAGAGAGUGCUGACGGAGGCACUGCAUUGGAUGGAAACAUUAUUAAAAAAGUCGCAUAAAAUCUUUUUUUUUGUUAAAAAGUAGGUAUACUACUUCAAGAACUUUUGGUUCAUCAUGCCCCUGUUCGAAUGGAAAGCUCAAUUUUCCUUACAAGGGAAUCCUUCGAGGUGUCCGUCACCUAUUUAAACGAGACCGCUAUUUUUGGAAAAAGCAUUUUCUGAAACCCUCUUACUUUAGAAUUUCAGUUGCUCAGUAGGAUUCUUCGAUUUUGACAAAUUUUUGAAAAUUCAAAAUUGACCAUUUUUGGCGAUUCGUGUUUUUUUUUUUUGUAGGAAUAUUUAUUUAGUAAAAAUGGUGGAAAUGAGCCCUGUAACUAGCCAUUUCUGGUCAUUUUGAAACCUCCAUUGGGAUUUUUGAUUCCUCCACGAGCAUGUUUUUUUGACUAGUAAUUUCCACUUAGGGCCUAUCCGUAUUCGAAAAUUUAUGCCGGUCAAAAAAACACAUUUGGGAUGUCUACUCGUUGAAUACUUACAUCGAGAGUGAGCAACAACUCGAUUUUCAGUUGCCUAAAUUCAUUUUCACGCCUUCUGGAGAAACCAAAAACCGCGCUGGAAGUUCCAGAAGUUCUCGAAAUUGUGAUGGGGGAGGGGGGGUAAAAAUGAUACAGCUACAGCAGCUACAGUGUGCAUUUUUGUAUUUUUUUCCCCUCUCAAAUUUCAUAAUCAAAAAAAUUUCUUGACGUGUCCAUCUGGAAAUUGGCCUAAAUGUGAAUAGGUCCUUUAUACUUGGUCGAGGAUGAGCCACAAUUCGAAUUUUAGCUGCCCAAAUUGAGUUUUUAAAUUGUGGAGAAAUCGAAAAUGGACUGGUGAAAUUCAAUUCUUCAUCAUUUUUUGGUAAUUUUUUAUGAGUUAGAUGCUUUUUUUGUGUGUUUUUCCACCGCGAAUACCCGAAUAAUAGCUUAAUAAUAUACUUACGUUGUAAAUUUGAAAACCCCCAUUUUGAAAAAUCGAUAUUUUUUGGUUUAGUUUUAGGCUUUAGUUGAAUGUUCUUCCCUGGUUUAAAGUACCGAAAUACGAGUACCUACUUUUUUAUAAAGCUUUUUAAUAGAAUAUACUUACAUGUAAGCUUACUCAAAAUGAAUUUAUUAUAUCUACUUAUAUGUACCUAGUUGUCAAAUUACUUAUCAAAUA